UCCAUGGAAAUGAGCAGUCAACAUUUCAGGCCGAGACCCUUUGUAAGUCCUGAUGAAGGACUGACAAAAGGUCAUUUCCACGGAUGCUGCCUGACCUGCUGAGUUCCUCUAGCAUGUUGUAUGUGUUGGUUUGACCACAGCAUCUGCAGUGUACUUUGUGUUUAAUAUGUUUGUGAUGACUUUUUCUAUAAAUUGAUAAGAUUUAAGAAGUAUUGCUCCAGUGAAGCAGUCCAUCAGAAUGGGGAAAACCUUGCUGUUAUUUACUGUUUGAUGUCCCUUCCUGCAUUGUCCCUAAGUGAUCCUCUGUUUUUACAACUUAUUAUGCAUUGUUGCCUGAUGAACCCAAGGAAUGUAAACACUUCAGUUUAACAAUAACUCCUGAGGAACUUAAGAAUGAUAUCUCAGUGAAACACCAUCCCCAAUGGCUAUUAUGGAUAUUUCAAUGCUAACUGGAUUCUCUCCAGAUAUCAGUGAUCUUGAUCACCAAAGAGUUGUGCUAAUUUUUACAAUGUCCCUGGAAACAGUAUUAUGCUUCAGAUAAUCUGCCUAGGUGAUGUGCGCAAAUGCUCUGUAGGAAGUUGCAUCUCAUUAGAAACAAGUGAAGAAGACCUUGAAAGGUGUGUUGACAUAUCGUGCACCUCAGGAACAGAGUUUGUUUACAAAGUGACAUUUCUUGAGAAGACAAAGAGAGAGUUCCAUAAAUUUCAAAAUGAAAAUUCUGACUCUUAUCAAACUAGGCAAGUAAUUUUCAUAUUUCAGAAGCAUGGACAACAAAAGAAGAAAAAAAUCUUCAGUCAAUAGAGAUUUCAACCCAUCACUUGAACACUUCUGCAUUCAAAAUAAACAUUAAAAACCAUGUAUGUUGUUCAAUGUACUGUAGUGUUAAAUUUCAAUUCUUAGAUGGUAUGGUUCAACUGCAUGUUGCUGCUUUAAAGGGACGUUCAGACAUCACAUCCCACGAAUUUUGGCACAACAUACCAGAAUGGAGAUUGCUAGCUCUCUGCAAUUGCAAGCAUUUAUAUACAUUUGAGAAAACAAGGAGUUUUCAGCAGAAAUGGAAUAGAUUAGGAGAAUGGGCAAAGAAGUAGCAGAUGGAAUACAGUGUAAGAAGUGUAUAGCCAUGCACUUUGGUAGAAGGAAUAAAGGCAUAGGCAAAUUUUUAAGCAGCGAGCAAAUUCAGAAAUCAGAGAUGCAAAUGAACCUGGGAGUCCUCUUGCAGAUUCCCUAAAGAUUAACUUGCAGGUUGUGUCGAUGCAGGAGGGUAAACGUGAAGAGAGCAUUAAUUUUGAGGACUAGAAAAUAAAAGUAAACUGAGCCUUUAAAAGACAUUGUUCUUCCUGCACUUGGAGUAUUGUGAGCAGUUUUGGGUCCCUUAUCUAAAAAAGAAUGUGCUGCCAUUGGAGAGAAUCCAGAGAUGUUUCCUGGGAAUAAUCCCAGAAUGAAAGAAUUGAUGUAUGUGAAGUAUUUGGUAGCUCAAGGCCUGUACCCGCAGGAGUUCACAAGAAUGAUAGGGGAUCUCAUUGAAACUUAUUGAGUAUUGAAAGACCUAAAGGACAUGGAGAUGAUGUUUCCUAUAGUACAGUAGUCCAGGACCAGAGAGUACAGACUCUGAAUAGUAGGAUGUCAUUUUAGAACAGAAAUGCGAAGGAAUUUCAUUAGCCAGUGAGUGGUGAAUCUGUGGAAUUCAUUGCCACAAAGGUCUGUGGAGGAUAAGUCGAUGGACAUAUUUAAAGCGGAUGUUGUUAGUUUUUUGAUUAGUCAUAAUACGAAAAGGGCAGGAGAAUGGGAUUGAGAGGGAUCAAAAAUGGCAGAGCAAACUGGAUGGGCUGAAUGGCUUAACUCUGCUCCUAUAUCUUAUGAUCUUUUGUUGUCUGUUUAAUAUUGGCAAAUAUUCUCAAAGAUGCCCAGAAUGUUAUCAAGCAGAGUUAUUGAGAGUUUCUCUGGUUGAGACAAUAGGGUAAAAAUAUUCAAAAUGGUUGCAUUCAAUUAACUGUUACAGUUAAUUGUUCAAAAGGGUAAAAUAUGUCACACAGUAUGUCAUUUCUGAUUUGGAUAUUCUCUCCACAUCCAGUCUACCAAAGUUUUUCAACAUACAAUAGGUUUUGAAAGAAAGAGCAAAGAGCAAUGCAGAGAAAUGGAAAUCCUAACAUAGGGAUUGCCCCUUUGCUUCCAAAAAAUGCUGCCUAACUUUUUGAACUCCUCAAGAAACUUGAUAGAAUUUAUUUAUUUUAUUUAGAAAUAUAGUGCAGAACAGGCUCUCCAGAUAUUGAAAAAUUACUUACUCCAUAACUUUUGGAAAUAUUUCAUUAAUCUUUUGAGAAGGGUACUUUAACUUUUUAUGAUGCUUCUGUUUCCUUAAUCCUUAAGAAAGAUAAAGAUCCUACUGAAUGUUCAUCAUAUAGAACUAUUUUGUUAUUAAAUGUGGAUGCAAAAAUUCUCUUUAAGAUAAUGGCUAACCAUUUGGAAAAAAAUUUAACUAAUAUUAUUUCUAUGGAUCAAACAGGCUUUA